rnacentral:siRNA from 1 species
UUGUUUAAAUCCUGAAGGUUGCUC